rnacentral:rRNA from 1 species
AAAUUGAAGAGUUUGAUCAUGGCUCAGAUUGAACGCUGGCGGCAGGCCUAACACAUGCAAGUCGAACGGUAACAGGAAGCAGCUUGCUGCUUUGCUGACGAGUGGCGGACGGGUGAGUAAUGUCUGGGAAACUGCCUGGUGGAGGGGGAUAACUACUGGAAACGGUAGCUAAUACCGCAUAACGUCGCAAGACCAAAGAGGGGGACCUUCGGGCCUCUUGCCAUCGGAUGUGCCCAGAUGGGAUUAGCUAGUAGGUGGGGUAACGGCUCACCUAGGCGACGAUCCCUAGCUGGUCUGAGAGGAUGACCAGCCACACUGGAACUGAGACACGGUCCAGACUCCUACGGGAGGCAGCAGUGGGGAAUAUUGCACAAUGGGCGCAAGCCUGAUGCAGCCAUGCCGCGUGUAUGAAGAAGGCCUUCGGGUUGUAAAGUACUUUCAGCGGGGAGGAAGGGAGUAAAGUUAAUACCUUUGCUCAUUGACGUUACCCGCAGAAGAAGCACCGGCUAACUCCGUGCCAGCAGCCGCGGUAAUACGGAGGGUGCAAGCGUUAAUCGGAAUUACUGGGCGUAAAGCGCACGCAGGCGGUUUGUUAAGUCAGAUGUGAAAUCCCCGGGCUCAACCUGGGAACUGCAUCUGAUACUGGCAAGCUUGAGUCUCGUAGAGGGGGGUAGAAUUCCAGGUGUAGCGGUGAAAUGCGUAGAGAUCUGGA